rnacentral:rRNA from 1 species
AGUGAACGCUGGCGGUAGGCCUAACACAUGCAAGUCGAACGGCAGCACAGUAAGAGCUUGCUCUUACGGGUGGCGAGUGGCGGACGGGUGAGGAAUACACCGGAAUCUACUUUUUCGUGGGGGAUGACGUAGGGAAACUUACGCUAAUACCGCAUACGACCUACGGGUGAAAGCAUUGGAUCUUCGGACCUUGCGCGAUUGAAUGAGCCGAUGUCGGAUUAGCUAGUUGGCGGGGGAAAGGCCCACCAAGGCGACGAUCCGUAGCUGGUCUGAGAGGGUGAUUCGCCACACUGGAACUGAGACUGGGUCCAGACACCUACGCGAGGCAGCAGUGGGGAAUAUUGGACAAUGGGCGCAAGCCUGAUCCAGCCAUAUCGCGUGGGUGAAGAAGGCCUUCGGGUUGGAAAGCCCUUUUGUUGGGAAAGAAAUGCAGCAGGUUAAUACCGCGCUGUUCUGACGGUACCCAAAGAAUAAGCCCCGGCUAACUUCGUG